GGGAAAAAAAUUCCUUAGUCAGGAAUGUAUGUGAGAACUUUACAUUACUCCACCCAUACUUAGGCAUACUUUAGGGGAAGAUAAAGUUGUAAACUCCUGUUGAAACAAUGAGAAAAAGUCCCCAACCCAUACUUAUAGUGAGGCCAAGCCCUUAAGCUAGGUCUAUUUUUAGAUCUAAUACAAAAGGGUGCUAAGUACCUAUGAAGGUUAAAUUAAUCACUAAAAGGUCAAGCAACUUACAAAGGGCAAACAUAGCAAAGAGGUGUGAAGUACUCAGAAGAUAUAAUCUACCCAGAGAAGGUGAGAACUAGAGUGGUGAAAACAAAGAAUGGGCAAUCCUAGGAAAAGCGUCUACUGUGAUUGGUAGAUGUGAAAACUUAGGGGAGGUGACACAAGAGAAAAUUUUCUUUAAAAAGAAGGAGCUUGAGGGCUCUGAAGGGAGUUCAGCUCUGAAAGCUGGAUUGGAUGGUCUCUCUCAACACUGGAGUUUUGCUUGGAACAAUCUUGUGGAGAAUGAUCUUCAGACCUGGAAGAGAAAACAAAAACAGCAAUUUGAUACCCCAGAUAAAGAGUUAGUAAGAGGGCACCUAGCUGCCCUUGAUGAAUCAAGUCACUUGGCCUAUGAACCACAUCCUCAGGUCCUGGAAAAAUGAAAAACCAGGCAGAUAUGAUUGCUGAACCACAAAUGCCAUAGGAAAUGUGGAGGACCACUUAAAAUACCAUGAUCAUUGGGCCACUAGAAAAAUCAAGCAGAGCUAUUUGGUAAGAGGGGGAGUUAAAGUUUGUCUUACUAAUUUUUUUUGUCUUGCUAAUUUUUCAAGUGAAUCUUUUAAAUCUGUAGUUAUCUGCCAAGAUUUCAUGGUUCCCAUGUCAUAUUGAAGGAUACCACAGUCACCUGAAAGGGUUUAUCAUAAC
rnacentral:lncRNA from 1 species